GAGGUAGAGGCGCGAUAUUUAACAGUUCUUAGUGGAGUUUGAGAAGACUUAGAUGCUAAGGAGAAGGAAAUGUCGCCGAAGUGGGUAAUAUUCUCGGUAUUACCUGCUGGGUCUGCAGUUAAGAGCUGCAGGACUGUCUUAGUAAUCUUACCCGGUU
rnacentral:ncRNA from 1 species